CCUGUCUGCAAUCUGAAUUUGAGAAUAAGUAGUGAUGCACGAUAUAUCGGCCGCCGAUAUAAUAUCGGCCGAUAUGGUCAUUUUUUUACACAUCGGUAUCGGUCCGAUGUCAAAAUAGGGCCGAUAAUUAUUCCUGUGUAUGUAGGCUUGUUGAUGUGUAUGUAGGCGUUAGAUGUGAGUGUGGGGGCGGGGGAGUUUGUUUUUGCACAAGCGCAUAAAUGUACACGUCACGUGAAGCAGGUGCUGAAGGCGGCAAAAAAGACAAAAAUAAUUUCAGUCAAAGUCGUGUCUCUGUUUCAGUUGAGCAGAGAUGUCGUUGGUUUGGUCAUUUUUUAAAGUCUCUGAAGAGGACCAACGCUAUGCUGUAUGCAAUGACUGAAGGCCGGGUGAUGCGAGGGGGAGCUCGUGUCAAAUCGUUCAACACAACCAAUUUGAUCACCCACUUAAAAAACAAGCAUCCCGAAGCCUACAAAGAAUAUGAAAAACUAGCUAAUGCUAAGCAGCGGAAGAAAGCUACUGCUACUGCGGCAGCUGCACCAGUCGGUAGCCUCAUAGAGCAAGUGCUGGAUAAGACGAAGAAAUUCCACAAGGACCACCGAAAGCAAAAGGCGUUGACUGUAGCAAUAACUAAGAUGAUCGCUGUUGAUGACCAACCGUUCUCAGUCGUGGAAGACGAAGGGUUCAGCGAGGUGCUUGAGGUCGCUGAGCCCCGCUAUAACAAGCCAAGCCGUCGUUACUUUGCGGAUGUUGCCCUGCCUGCCUUACAUGAUAACGUAGCCACCCACGUCGACAGCAAUGUCAAUGACAUCAGUUUCACAACGGAUAUAUGGAGUUCCGACAAGUUACUCGACAGCAAUGUCAAUGACAUCAGUUUCACAACGGAUAUAUGGAGUUCCGACCUCAACCAAACAAGCAUGUUGAGCCUCAUGGCUCAGUGGAUUGACGAACACUUCGAGAUGAAGAGAGCCGUGUUACAUGCCCAAGAAUUCCCUGGCUCGCAUACAGGUACUGCCAUAGCCAGUGCAUUUGACUGCAUGUUUACACAAUGGAGAAUCCGGAAAGAAAAUGUGCACGUCGUGCUUCGAGACAACGCACGAAAUAUGGUGAAGGCGAUGGAGGAGUGUGGUGUUAAAAGCCUGGCCUGUAUGGCUCAUCUGGGGCAGUUAGCUGUACACGAUGCAGUACUAAGCCAGCGAAGCGUUGUUGACUCUUUGGCUAUAGUCAGAAAAAUAGUCGGACAUUUUAAAAGCUCCCCUUUUGGUACCUCUCGGCUGAGAGACAUCCAGAGAGAGAUGGGAAUGAAUAUCAAAAUGCUACAACAGGACGUCCCAACGCGCUGGAAUAGUACAUUCAUGAUGAUGACAACUCUCCUGGAACAGAAGCGCACUGGUUAUGUACGAGGCUUACCACGGACUGCCUGUAUCUCUCAACGCAAAUCAGUGGAGUCUCAUUGAGAAAAUGACAACACUCCUGGCACCUUUUGAGGAGUUGACGAGAGAGAUCAGCUCGCAUACAGCUACAGCUGCUGACGUGAUCCCGUCUGUUGUGGCACUCAAGCGUUUUCUGAACAAGACAGCCAGUGGGGUCAAACCGACAGUGGGGUCAAAACAACCAAGUCUGCACUGCUUGAAGCUGUGAACAAGAGAUUCGAAACCAGUUUCUCUGAGCAAUUAUACUACUUGGCAACAAUCCUGGACCCCAGAUAUAAAGAUCGCUACUUUGACGCAGUCCUCAAGCUAGUGGCAAAAAACAAGCUAGAGAAAGAAGUGGACAAGAUGACCGCCUCAGCGACAACCAGCGCCAGAGCCACAGUUGGGCCUACACCAGUCGCAGAAGAAGCUGAGCCAGAAGAAGGUGAACCACAAGAAAAGAGGAUGCGUACGCCAAGUGAAGGGCAUUCGUUCCUGGACAUGUUCGAUGAAAUUCUGGAGGAAAAGGAGCAGGAUGAACAGGCAACAGGUCCAACGAGUGUGCAGGUGCAUGGUUACCUGAGUGAGCCCACUAUCCCCAGAAAUGUGAGCCCACUGCAGUACUGGCAAAGCAACAUGACCCGCUUCCCUGCCCUCGCCCCAGUGGCACACAAGUACCUCUCAGCUCCAUGUACCAGUGUGGACAGCGAACGUCUCUUCUCCGCAGCUUCAAAUGUUGUCAGUGAAAAGAGAAAUAGGAUCGGUACAGAGAGAGCAGAAAUGCUCCUGUUUGUUAAGCACAACAUUCAUCUGCUUCCAAAGCCCAGGAAGGUCAAGGGUUAGGCCUAGCCCUACAGUUACAGUACUUAGUUACUAUACUUACAAUUCAAAAGACUGCAAAAGCCAGUGUUUGUUCAGUCCAGUUGGUUCUGGCUCCGUUUUCUUUUGCUAAGUGGCUGUGGCCAUUUUUAGGCCUACUAGUACUGUACCUUAAAGUUUUUCCAAUGUUAAAAGAAUACUGCAUCAGUCAUUUUAUUUUGUUAAGUGGCUUUGGCCAUUUUUAGGCCUUCUACUGUACCUUAAAUAUUUUUCAAUGUUGUUAACAGAAUACAGUAUCAGUCAUUUUAUUUUGCUAAGUGGCUUUGGCCAUUUUUAGGCCUUCUACUGUACCUUAAAUAUUUUUCAAUGUUAACAGAAUACAGUGUCAGUCAUUUCUG